AGCGGCGAGUGAAGCGGCAAAAGCUCAAAUUUGAAAUCUGGCGCCUUCGGUGUCCGAGUUGUAAUUUGAAGAUUGUAACCUUGGGGUUGGCUCUUGUCUAUGUUUCUUGGAACAGGACGUCACAGAGGGUGAGAAUCCCGUGCGAUGAGAUGCCCAAUUCUAUGUAAGGUGCUUUCGAAGAGUCGAGUUGUUUGGGAAUGCAGCUCUAAGUGGGUGGUAAAUUCCAUCUAAAGCUAAAUAUUGGCGAGAGACCGAUAGCGAACAAGUACAGUGAUGGAAAGAUGAAAAGAACUUUGAAAAGAGAGUGAAAAAGUACGUGAAAUUGUUGAAAGGGAAGGGUUUGAGAUCAGACUCGAUAUUUUGUGAGCCUUGCCUUCGUGGCGGGGUGACCCGCAGCUUAUCGGGCCAGCAUCGGUUUGGGCGGUAGGAUAAUGGCGUAGGAAUGUGACUUUACUUCGGUGAAGUGUUAUAGCCUGCGUUGAUGCUGCCUGCCUAGACCGAGGACUGCGAUUUUAUCAAGGAUGC
rnacentral:rRNA from 1 species